GGUGGACGGCAACCGCAGUAGCACCUAUCCGUGUGCAUGCACAAAGAUAAGCCAAAAUCCGUAUGCUAUUGUAGACUUGCAGGCGGCCUACGACAUUUAUUUCAUCUACAUCGUAAAUCGUGGCGACUGUUGUCCUGAAAGAUUACACGACCUGGCAGUUUUCAUUGGUAAUGACACAUCUAGACUGGGACUUGCUGCACGCCAUACUGCCCCGAUUGGUGCGGACUGUACGUUUAAAUUUGACAAGCCUGUCAAUGGACGCUAUGUAAAACUGCAAAUUGAAGCACUUGCCGAGGAAUAUCUCACAAUAUGCGAGCUAGAAAUAUACAGUAUUUAAAUCAUUGACAUACCAAAGCUUUCAUUCUGGCGAUAUGUACAUGAAGGAAAACACUUGAUACACUCUCAAUGGCAUGGCUGUUAAGAAACCUGUGCUGAUCAUGUUUCAUACUGGACACUUGGAAAGACAUUCCGUGUUGUUACAGACUGGAAGUUUCCUUUAAUUUUAGUUACUACAGUGCUAAAUUGAAGCAAUGAUAUUAACUUUAAUGAUAUUAUCCUGAGCAUCUGCCAGCACGUUGUCUGUUUUUAAUUCAUAGAAUAUGUAAAUAACAUAUUAU